rnacentral:rRNA from 1 species
CAUAGCGACUAUCGUGGCAUAUCAAUAAGCGGAGGAAAAGAAACUAACUAGGAUUCCCUCAGUAACGGCGAGUGAAGCGGGAAGAGCUCAAAUUUGAAAUCUUCAAGGUUCUACCUUGACGAAUUGUAGUUUAAAGAAGUGUUUUCUGUUGGAGUUUUGGUAAAAGUUCUUUGGAAUAGGACAUCAUAGAGGGUGAGAAUCCCGUAUUUGGACCAUUAUUUCCUAGCUUUGUGAUACACUUUCAACGAGUCGGAUUGUUUGGGAAUGCAGUCCAAAAUGGGUGGUAAAUUUCAUCUAAAGCUAAAUAUUGGCGAGAGACCGAUAGCGAACAAGUACCGUGAGGGAAAGAUGAAAGGAACUUUGAAAAGAGAGUUAAACAGUACGUGAGAUUGUCAAAAGGGAAGCGUUUGACACCAGUGUUGUUUUUCCGAAAAUCAAUUACGAAUGUUUUGUUUUUGAGGAGUUAUGACUUCAUCGGCUUGCUCUCUUCUUUACGAAACUUUCUUAAUGCACUUUUCGGUUAACAAGUCAACAUCAAUUUCUUUUGUUGUAAAAGGGUAUGAGGAAGGUGGCUUUCUUUUCGGAGAAAGUGUUUAUAGCCUUGUGCCUCUGCAAUCGGAGAGAUUGAGGUCUGCAGCGUAGAUCCUUCGGGGUUAGAUACGUUUGUGCUAAGUUAUAGCUUUUCAUAGACAACUUGUUGACUAUGUUUAGUCUUGUAGCUUACUCGCUUACGCUAUUUUACCUACGCUUAGGAUGUUGAUAUGCAUGACUGAUAU